rnacentral:rRNA from 1 species
AAGGAAGAAGGUUUUCGGAUUGUAAACUUCUGUUAUAAAGGAAGAACGGCGGCUACAGGAAAUGGUAGCCGAGUGACGGUACUUUAUUAGAAAGCCACGGCUAACUACGUGCCAGCAGCCGCGGUAAUACGUAGGUGGCAAGCGUUAUCCGGAAUUAUUGGGCGUAAAGAGGGAGCAGGCGGCAGCAAGGGUCUGUGGUGAAAGCCUGAAGCUUAACUUCAGUAAGCCAUAGAAACCAGGCAGCUAGAGUGCAGGAGAGGAUCGUGGAAUUCCAUGU